UCUGUGGACAGAUGUGAUUCUUAAAAAUACUUAUUCUUUCACAGGAUAUGGGCGUUGCUGGAGAAGCCAGGAUUUGUUGCUCUUGCGUAAUUUCCCUUAAGAAGGUGGUGGUGCCUUCUUGAACUGCUGCAGCCCAUGUGGUGUAGCUACACGCAUUGCCGUCAGGAAGGGAGUUCCAGGAUUUAGACCCAGCAACUGUUAAGGGUGAUACAGUACCAAUUCAGGAUGCUUGUUAUUCCUGGACCAGGUGAGCAGAGGCUCCAGCUUGAGGAGCACCACACCUGGAGACUGACCAGGAGACUCUCACUCUUAACACCAGCCAUUGGCGUAUUGGAAGAAUUUACAAGUUAAGGGUCUUCUGGCACAGUGAUAAUGUCCCUACCUCUGGGCCAGGAGGCCUAGAUCCAAGUCUUAUCUGCCCCAGAGCAGAACAGCAAUCAAGCCUGACGAUGUCCUCAUCCAACAACUGGAAAACUAUCAGCAGCUGAAAUCCUGUCUGGACUUUUCUCUCAUCCCCUUACCUGUGGACUCAAGAGGCAAUGCCUCCAUUGAUUGGGGUAAAUUAGCAGGUUGACAGAAUCAAACAUUGCACCACUGACAGACUGAAAAGCUAGGUACCAUAGCAAACAAAUGCAUUCACCCACUGAACUAUUCAGAAUCCCCCAAGUACACUUCUGUUCAGGGAAAAACAUCUUCCACUUAACGAAAUCUAAUCUAAUUAAGUUCAGUAUAUAUUUACAAAAUAAUACUCCUGGGUUAGCCUCCUGUAUUGUAACCUUUAGAAACUUGAGGCCAUCCAAACUCUUCUGUCUGCUACUUUGCCUCAAGUUCUGUUCACCCAUCAUCCCAACAUCCCUCCCGAUUAAGCAAUACCUCAAUUUUAAAAUUCUCGUUCCUGUUUCCAAAGUGCUUCAGAGUCUCGUCCUUAUCUCCUACAGCCCUCUGGGGGUGGGGGUAGCACGCGGGGGUCUGCUCUCUCCCAAAACUGGCCUCUUGACCAUUUCUGAUUUUAAUUGUUACACCAUUGGUUACUAUUACCUGCAGCUACUUUGGUCUGAAACUGAUUGUCCUCCGCCUCUUGCCUCACUACACUUUCUUUUAAGUUACUCCUUAAAACCUACCUCUCUGACCAAGCUUUUGAUCACCUUCCUGAAUAUUUCCUUAUGUGAUUCAGUUUUAAAUUCUGUUGGUAAUGUUACUGUGAAGCACUUUGUAAUGUUCUACUAUGUUAAAGGUGCUUUAAAAGUACAAGUUCUUCUGUGGGAUUUAAUUGACAGCUUAUUUCAGAACAUGUAAAUUUUGACCUAGGCCCUGAUUUUUUAUUCUGGGAUCAGGUGCACAGAGGCAGAAGAAAUCCUUACUCCACAAAGCUUUAAAAAUGGCAGCUCCCAAAUCUUGUUAUGGACUGGAUCGUGAGUCAGGAAAGGUGAUGCAGGAAGAGCAGAGGAGGCUUCAGAUUCCCAGGAGCCAGACAGAAAGCCUGAAUGGGUACUCCCACAUUGUGUUCAGGUUCAAUAAUACAGAUUAAAGCAUAAAACAUCCUAUCUGCCCUCAUCCCCUCACUUUUUGUAUACCAUCCGUGCUACCUAAUUCCCUGUUCAACCCCUAUAGUUCCCACACCCUUCAUGCCAAACUAUGAUCCUGUACGCACUCAUGGCCUGUCAUAUCCCUGAUAUCUUAUUCCCCUGUGCUCAUUCCAUAUAGUCCUUCAUACCCCAUGCCCCACCCUGUGCCUAUCUAUUGAUCUGCCGUAGCUGUUCAUAAACUCUAAUCCCUGAGACAUCCUCAAGGUUUCUUAUAGUCCUUAUGCCAACUCAUCGGCCCCACCCACCACUCUUUGUUCUUCUCCAUGCCAACUCACCUAUUAUCCACACGGACAUAAAUCAGGAGGUAUGGCGACAGAAAAUAAUCUGUCUAUUGACGUGGGGAGAAGAUCUAGGCUAUUCAUAUUAUCUGUGACACUCAUAACUUUAUGAACCUCUAUCAUGGAAAGGUCUGUUUCCAUGCUGUAUGACUCUUGAUGACACAAUUUUAAACAAAAACUCUCUGAUAGAAAAACAUUCAACAUAUCAAUUCCCUAAUGAAGCAAGCUUUCGCUUAAGUGCUUAAUCUUUUAUAUCAAUGAACAUUUCACUCUAAUUGGAACUGUCCAUUAAAAUGCUCACUUGAAAGGCACCCCACUGUGAAAAUGAUAGUUUGGGAAAUCAAUCAUGCAGGAUAAACCCGCCAAUGGCUUAGUCAACAGAAAAAAUUAAAACUUAGCAUUUCUUCAAAAACUCCACAUUGUUUGGACACACUGUCAUGAUAGAAAUCUGUCCUUAAUCUCUGCCCCGGGGCAGGCCUAAUUAUAAAUCCUUGUCGCCAUACCUCAGGUAGUAAUCUUUUAAUUGUAUAAACUCAUUAACGAUGGACUUUCACAAACUAAGUAUUAAAGAACACAACAAAAUAUCUCUCCCAUCUCUUCAUCCCUUGAUAAUGCUGAAUCUUGCUUCAUUGUGGAAAAAAAAAUCAUAAACUGUCUUACAGAAAAAUAAAGUUUUUAAAUCCAUUUACAGGAAGUGGGAUUACUUGUGAGGCCAACAUUUGGCAAGCAAGCAACUUUCCCAAACCGCUGCAGUGUGUGUGGUGAGGGCACUAUUUCAGAGGGCAGAUAAAGGUCAAUAUCUUUGUUGAAGGCCUGGAGUUCCACAUGGCCAGACCAGGUCAGGGUAGUAAAUUACUUCCUUCAAAGGGCAUAAAUAAACUGAUGAGUGAAAAUUAUAAUCUGGCCGUGUUGUGGUCACCAGAUUUAAUUCAUUAAUGAGUUUAAAAUUCCCACACUGAUGUGGUGGGAUUAGAAUCUGUUUCUCCAGAUCACAAAUCCAGGCCUUGACAUAACCACUAUACCAUAUCCACUUGGCAUCAACACUAUGGAGAAUUUACAGGAGGUAAAUGAAGAGGGAACAGUUCUGUGCAGUUUUUUUUAAUCUGUUUCUCC